rnacentral:rRNA from 1 species
CGUAACAAGGUCUCCGUAGGUGAACCUGCGGAGGGAUCAUUACACAAAUAUGAAGGCGGGCUGGAACCUCUCGGGGUUACAGCCUUGCUGAAUUAUUCACCCUUGUCUUUUGCGUACUUCUUGUUUCCUUGGUGGGUUCGCCCACCACUAGGACAAACAUAAACCUUUUGUAAUUGCAAUCAGCGUCAGUAACAAAUUAAUAAUUACAACUUUCAACAACGGAUCUCUUGGUUCUGGCAUCGAUGAAGAACGCAGCGAAAUGCGAUAAGUAGUGUGAAUUGCAGAAUUCAGUGAAUCAUCGAAUCUUUGAACGCACAUUGCGCCCUUUGGUAUUCCAAAGGGCAUGCCUGUUCGAGCGUCAUUUGUACCCUCAAGCUUUGCUUGGUGUUGGGCGUCUUGUCUCUAGCUUUGCUGGAGACUCGCCUUAAAGUAAUUGGCAGCCGGCCUACUGGUUUCGGAGCGCAGCACAAGUCGCACUCUCUAUCAGCAAAGGUCUAGCAUCCAUUAAGCCUUUUUUACAACUUUUGACCUCGGAUCAGGUAGGGAUACCCGCUGAACUUA